GAGGACUGUCAAGAAGAUCUCUGCUCUUCUCCUUUGGAGUGCUGGCAGCAAAGGAAGACAAUUGGGCUGCAGAACUACAGAGCUGAAUAUGCUUGUUGCCUCCUUCACCACCAGGAACAAAAUAGAAGCAGAGCUGCCACGUGUCCUGAAAGUAUGAAGGGUCUCCUUCCCUGAUUUGUACAUCCCCCUGGUACCUGUCACCAUUCCUUGCACCUUGCCCAGAGAUGUACAUAAGAAAUUAAUUCCUCUCAGUGGUGAUGGACCACAGCAGAAGACAAAUACCACUACCGAAGACUGGAGUGACUGAAGUCUAACAGAGGUGAUAUGAGGUGGAAGGCCUAAAUAUAAAACAGGACAGACACUGACUUUGACAUUGAUGGUUUUGACCAUCCUCAUCUGACUCAGGAUUUGCUCAAUGAGCUCUCUUAGCUUGGUGCUUUAUGUAUUCUUUUCACAGGUGAAGAAAUUCUGUCUGAAUGUUUCAAAAACCCCUUGCAUACUGGGGAGUUAAUUGAGAAAGCUUAAGUUAAAUAAGUGCAGAGAUUUAAUGCAUUGAUGAACUAGGUUAUCAGCUGAUAUCCCAAUUGUCUGAAAUAUUCAUCUAUCUGAACAGCAUGUAGAAGUUGUGUUCAUUCCCACAAUUGUUCAGCUUUUUACCAAUCAUGCGGUUUUAGCCACAGUAAUAAUUCAUUUGGAAGACCUUGGAGACAAACAUUAUUCAAAUCACUUGAUCCAUUUACUAAGUUGUUGAAAAGUGAACAAGAGCACUGUUUGACGUAUCUUUUCCUUUCCCUUUUUUUUUUUUUUUUUUUUUUAAUCAUGAAUUGAGGAAUUGAAUU